GGCAUGCACCAUCAUGCCCGGCUAAUUUUUGUAUUUUAGUAUAGACAGGGUUUCACCAUGUUAGCCAGACUGGUCUUAACUUCUGACAUCAGGUGACUGGCCUACCUCGGCCUCCUAAAGUGCUGGGCUUACAGGCA